AGUAAAUAGAUACCCGGGUAGUCCACGCCGUAAACGAUGAGUACUAGGUGUAGGAGGUAUCGACUCCUUCUGUGCCGCAGUUAAACACAAUAAGUACUCCGCCUGGGAAGUACGGUCGCAAGAUUAAAACUCAAAGGAAUUGACGGGGCCCGGCACAAGCAGCGGAGGCAUGUGGUUUAAAUUACGAAGCAACGCGAAGAACCUUACCUAGACUUGACAUCUCCUGAAUAGUGUAGAGAUACAUGAAGCCCUUCGGGGUCGAGGAAGGACAGGUGGUGCAUGGUUGUCGUCAGCUCGUGUCGUGAGAUGUU
rnacentral:rRNA from 1 species